GAUGAACGCUGGCGGCGUGCCUAAUACAUGCAAGUCGAGCGAACAGAUAAGGAGCUUGCUCCUUUGACGUUAGCGGCGGACGGGUGAGUAACACGUGGGUAACCUACCUAUAAGACUGGAAUAACUCCGGGAAACCGGGGCUAAUGCCGGAUAACAUUUAGAACCGCUGGGUUUUAAGGUGAAAGAUGGUUUUGCUAUCACUUAUAGAGGGUCCCGCGCCGUAUUAGCUAGUUGGUAAGGUAACGGCUUACCAAGGCAACGAUACGUAGCCGACCUGAGAGGGUGAUCGGCCACACUGGAACUGAGACACGGUCCAGACUCCUACGGGAGGCAGCAGUAGGGAAUCUUCCGCAAUGGGCGAAAGCCUGACGGAGCAACGCCGCGUGAGUGAUGAAGGUCUUCGGAUCGUAAAACUCUGUUAUUAGGGAAGAACAAAUGUGUAAGUAACUGUGCACGUCUUGACGGUACCUAAUCAGAAAGCCACGGCUAACUACGUG
rnacentral:rRNA from 1 species